AAUAAAUCAAUUUUUCAUUUUUUAUCUUCAAUUUUUUACUUUUCAUCUUAUUCAAAUUUUUUUGCGAUUGAUAUUUUUGUUUUUAUUAGAUGAUAAAUCAUGAAUAGUACUUUAUAUGUGACUAAUUUUUUCUAAUUUCAUGAAAAUUUUUCAAAUAAAACGGAUGAUCAAAUGUUAGACACGAAAACCGAAG
rnacentral:pre_miRNA from 1 species